GAUGAAGAACGUAGCGAAAUGCGAUAAGUAGUGUGAAUUGCAGAAUUCAGUGAAUCAUCGAAUCUUUGAACGCACAUUGCGCCCCUUGGUAUUCCAUGGGGCAUGCCUGUUCGAGCGUCAUUUGUACCUUCAAGCUCUGCUUGGUGUUGGGUGUUUGUCUCGCCUCUGCGUGUAGACUCGCCUUAAAACAAUUGGCAGCCGGCGUAUUGAUUUCGGAGCGCAGUACAUCUCGCGCUUUGCACUCAUAACGACGACGUCCAAAAGUACAUUUUUACACUCUUGACCUCGGAUCAGGUAGGGAUACCCGCUGAACUUAAGCAUAUCAAUAAGCGGAGGA
rnacentral:misc_RNA from 1 species